rnacentral:rRNA from 1 species
GAUGAACGCUGGCGGCGUGCCUAAUACAUGCAAGUCGAGCGAACAGAUAAGGAGCUUGCUCCUUUGACGUUAGCGGCGGACGGGUGAGUAACACGUGGGUAACCUACCUAUAAGACUGGGAUAACUUCGGGAAACCGGAGCUAAUACCGGAUAAUAUUUCGAACCGCAUGGUUCGAUAGUGAAAGAUGGUUUUGCUAUCACCUAUAGAUGGACCCGCGCCGUAUUAGCUAGUUGGUAAGGUAACGGCUUACCAAGGCGACGAUACGUAGCCGACCUGAGAGGGUGAUCGGCCACACUGGAACUGAGACACGGUCCAGACUCCUACGGGAGGCAGCAGUAGGGAAUCUUCCGCAGUGGGCGAAAGCCUGACGGAGCAACGCCGCGUGAGUGAUGAAGGUCUUCGGAUCGUAAAACUCUGUUAUUAGGGAAGAACAUACGUGUAAGUAACUGUGCACGUCUUGACGGUACCUAAUCAGAAAGCCACGGCUAACUACGUG